AAAGACAAAAAAAAAAAACAGAACACUGAAAUUUACAUUAUACCAAUAAAAUGGCAUUAUCAAAGCUUCAAUUUGUAGUCAUCUUCGUCUUAUGUUCUCAACUUGUUACUUGCCAGUCAAAAGAUGUAAGAGAGAAUGCUGAUCAUCCUUCACAGUGUGUCUACAGAGGUUCGUGUGAGAGCAACAGAGACUGUGAGAGUCAGUGUGGACCGUCUGAGUUUCCACCGGAGACCAUUGCCUCAUGCCAAGCUAGUCCUAGGGGUCAUGGCAACAUUUGUUGUUGUGCUAAAGAUUAAUAUUCUCUUUCCAGCUAAAAGAAUAGUUUUUAUCUACUUUGAAAUAACUAAAUGUAAUAGUUGUUCUAGAGUUUUUUAUCAAAAAAAGAAAGAAGUUUACUA